rnacentral:rRNA from 1 species
UACAGAGGGUGCGAGCGUUAAUCGGAAUUACUGGGCGUAAAGCGCGCGUAGGCGGCUUUGCAAGUCGGAUGUGAAAUCCCCAGGCUUAACCUGGGAACUGCAUUCGAGACUGCAUUGCUAGAGUAUGGGAGAGGGAAGUGGAAUUUCCGGUGUAGCGGUGAAAUGCGUAGAUAUCAGGAGGAACACCUGCGGUGUAGACGGCUUUCUGGACCAUUGUUGACGCUGAGACACGAAAGCGUGGGUAGCAAACAGG